rnacentral:rRNA from 1 species
UACAGAGGUGGCAAGCGUUGUUCGGAAUUACUGGGCGUAAAGCGUGCGCAGGCGGUUUGCUAAGACAGGUGUGAAAUCCCCGGGCUUAACCUGGGAACUGCGCUUGUUACUGGCAGGCUUGAGUGUGGCAGAGGGGGGUGGAAUUCCACGUGUAGCAGUGAAAUGCGUAGAGAUGUGGAGGAACACCGAUGGCGAAGGCAGCCCCCUGGGCUAACACUGACGCCUCAUGCACGAAAGCGUGGGGAGCAACAGG